rnacentral:rRNA from 1 species
UGGGAAUUUGGACAAUGGGCGAAAGCCUGAUCCAGCAAUGCCGCGUGUGUGAAGAAGGCCUUCGGGUUGUAAAGCACUUUUGUCCGGAAAGAAAUCCUUGGCUCUAAUACAGUCGGGGGAUGACGGUACCGGAAGAAUAAGCACCGGCUAACUACGUGCCAGCAGCCGCGGUAAUACGUAGGGUGCAAGCGUUAAUCGGAAUUACUGGGCGUAAAGCGUGCGCAGGCGGUUUGCUAAGACCGAUGUGAAAUCCCCGGGCUCAACCUGGGAACUGCAUUGGUGACUGGCAGGCUAGAGUAUGGCAGAGGGGGGUAGAAUUCCACGUGUAGCAGUGAAAUGCGUAGAGAUGUGGAGGAAUACCGAUGGCGAAGGCAGCCCCCUGGGCAAUACUGACGCUCAUGCACGAAAGCGUGGGGAGCAAACAGGAUUAGAUACCCUGGUAGUCCACGCCCUAAACGAUGUCAACUAGUUGUUGGGGAUUCAUUCCUUAGUAACGUAGCUAACGCGUGAAGUUGACCGCCUGGGGAGUACGGUCGCAAGAUUAAAACUCAAAUGAAUUGACGGGGUCA